AUCCCUUUUCCUAUAUAGAAUCGAGAUAAACGCCACAAAAGAAAAGGACAAACACCUUUUUCAGCCGAAGUUUUGAACUCUACGAGUAGUCAAGUACGACGUUCCAUAGGACUCCGCGCCACUUUCUCCAUAAACAUUGUAUAUUAAAAAAAAAAGAAAUCUGGGAAUUCCACGACAAGCUUCUUUCUUCUGCAAUUCUCUCUCUUUUCUCUCCAUUGUGCAGAUUUUUAGGGUUUAAUGCUAGUGGAAUUUUGGCGAUUUAUAGGGUUUCGUUGUUUCGAAAUUGAUUACUGUGUUUAACAUUGAACCAUGUCUGUAACAGAGCAAACUUCAAACGAUCUAAGAGUCAGUAGGGUUUUAAUGCACAAACUUGGCGAAACCUUCAAAGAUUUCCAGUCUCACUCCUACACAAUUUUCUCACUGGGCGAACAAUGGCGGAUUUUGCAGAAUUCAUUCGCAACACUACACAAUUCUCUGGAGAAUCGAGUCAAGGAAGUCGAGUCAAAGGAGAGAGAAAUCAACGUUAUUAGAAAAACAUUCCAGAAUUUCCAGAAGGAGGUUGAGUUGAGACAGAAGAAGUUGGAGUUGGUGGAGAAAUCGCUGAGCGAGAGAAGUGAAAAAAUUGAGAUGAGAGAGAAGCAAGUGAGGGAGUCGUGUGAUGGUAUAGAGUUGGAGAGGAGAUCAAUUGCUGAGCGUAGCAAGGCUGUGGAUUUGAGAGAGAAGUGGUAUUCAGCCGGUUUCGAGCGAGUUAAAGCUGUGGAUGUUGAAGAGAAGAGAGUUGUGGAGCGGCUCAGGGCCGUGGAAGAGAGAGAAAAGGAAGUGGAGGAGAGAAAGAGGGAGGUUAGCAGGCUCGAGGCGGCGUUCGGUGUCCGAGAGAAGGAGUUGAAGCAGAAGGUGAUCACUGAAGUUAGGGAAGAAUUGGAUGUGAAAGAGAGGGAAUUGAAUGAAUUCUCUGAAGAAUUGAAGUUGAAAGAGGCUCAAUUGAAUAAUGGAAUUUUAGUAUUGGGAGAGAAGGAGGCGAAAUUGGAGGAGGAAAGGAAAGAGUUGAAAUUGAAAGAGAAUCAAAUUGAUGAAUUAUACAAUGUUCUUGAGUUGAAGGAAAGUGAGAUGAAUGAGAAAACGAAAUCGUUGGUGUCGAAAGAAGAGGGUUUGGGAUUGAGGGAGGAAGAAAUUGAGGAUAGAUUGAAGGGAUUAGAGUUGAAAGAGAAGGAGAUGAAUUCGCGUUGGCGAUUGCUUGAGGUUACUGAGAAUGAUGUUAAUAAGCAGAGAGACGCAAUGGAAGUGAAGGAGGAGCAAUUGAAUGAGAAAAGUAAGGCAUUAGAGUUGAAAGAGAAAAGAGUUAGUAAACAUAGUCAGGGUCUAGAAUGGAAAGAGAAGCUAAUCGAUGAGCGUUACAAACAGACAGAAUUGAAGGAGAAAGAAAUUAACAAGCGUUUCGAAGCAAUGGAGAUGAAAGGGAGGCAAAUUGAUAAGCAGCACAAAGCUUUAGGUUUCAAACAGAAGCGAACGUUUAAGCUUAACAAUAGGCUAAGGUUGAAAUUGAAACAACUCGACGAACAAUCUGUGGAAAUGAGGGAGAAGAAAGUUACUGAGCCUUGCCAAGUUGAAGAGUUUUCGGAGAAGAAAAGUGAUGGGCAUCGCAUACUUUCUCGUUGUCCAGCAUCAGUGUCCAAAGAUAAGCAAAUUGUAAGCAGCAGUUUGGCACAAGCGAGUUCAGAGCUUCCUGAUUCAGAUACUGCUCAAGUAGCAUGUGCCGUGGAUUCUUCCUCGUCGAAGAAUGGUGUUGAUAUUCAUUCAUUGUGCAGAAAUAUGGACUUUGAUGGCCUGAGAUUAUAUCUUUGUAACCAUGUGGAGGAGCAAGAUAUAUUACAUGAGAAGACAUUGAAUGCUCUUAGAUGUGCACCUGAUCCUGGAAAGCUUGUUCUUGAUGUCUUUCAAACUUUCCACCUAAGAUUCCCAAACAAGUAUCAUACCCGGGUUAAUCAAACGACUUGCCUUUUUCUAUUAAGGCAGUUGAAGAAAUUAUCACCACCAAUUACACAUGAGGUGGACAUUGAAGCAAAAAAUCUUGCUGCUUUUUUGAAGACUAAGCUGAAGGAGAAUGUCUCUCCUACAGAUAUUUCUGGGUUUCUCCAGUUGUUAGCUGCAUUCAAGCUGACAAGUCUUUACAAUGAAGAUGAGCUUGUUCCACUUUUGGAUAAGUUAUCUUGUGGGUAUAACAAUUGGCGCGAGGAGCAUUUAUAUUUAUGUCGUGUAUUGGGACUUUCGAAGAAGAUUCCAGGUCACAUCAAAUCGCUUAUUGAAAGAAAAAAGUGGCUUUGGGCAAUCAAGUACAUUUUUAUAUUCAAGCUGGAACGUGAUUUUCCACCAGUGCCUCUGCUGGUAGCUCACUUGGAUUUUUUGAAGAAAAGAGUGGCCGAGAGACAAAAGGAUGGAACUUUUGAAUCAAAGAUACGAGCUGAAUGCUUUGAAUUUGGCAAUCUCAAAGAAGUGAGCAAGUGCAUUACAUAUUGUGAGCUUGAGUCGAAAUUCCCAGUUGCUCCCCUUUUGUCACGCAUUGAGGAAUUGGAAAAGGAGAAAGAAGAGAGGACUGCUGGUGCUGCUUCUAAAGUAAUGAAUAUGAGGAAACGAAGUGCAAACUCGUGUGCUGCUUCUGUAGCAAUUCCGAAACAAGUAGAAAAACGUCCUCGAAUGGAGAAUGUUCCACAUCACCAGAUAGUCCCUCUGGAUAAGGCACCCUUUCCUCAGCAUGUGGCUCAUCCUUCCGGGCAGGCACCGUGUCCUCAGCCUGUGGCUCAUCCUUCUGGGCAUGCACCGUGUCCUCAGCCUGUGGCUCAUCCUUCCAGGCAUGCACCGUGUCCUCAGCCUGUGGCUCAUCCUUCCGGGCAGGCACCGUGUCCUCAGCCUGUGGAUCAUUCUUCCGGGAAUGCACCGUGUCCUCAGCCUGUGGCUCAUCCUUCCAGGCAUGCACCGUGUCCUCAGCCUGUGGCUCAUCCUUCGGGGCAUGCACCGUGUCCUCAGCCUGUGGCUCAUCCUUCCGGGAAUGCACCGUAUCCUCAGCCUGUGGCUCAUCCUUUCAGGCAUGCACCGUGUCCUCAGCCUGUGGCUCAUCCUUCCGGGCAUGCACCGUGUCCUCAGCCUGUGGCUCAUCCUUUCGGACAUGAACCCUAUCCUCAGCCUAUGGCUCACCCUUUCGGACAUGCACCUAAUAUCACCCAGACUGUACAACCCAUUUGGCAUCAGGGAACUAUGCUUACAUCCAAUGGUCCACACUAUGGAGUUGAUCCUCAUUCAGGUUCUGGUCCGUUUGUGCCUACUCCUGGAGUGUACCCACUUAGCGGUCCAGCCGCCCACAGACCCGUAUACAAUGGGGAUCAUCAAGCUUGGGGAGCACCUAAUCAAUGCCAAUGACUUAUUCGAGAGCUAUUAUUCUAUCUGAAGAUUCUCGAGGCUUAUGCUUGAGCUACGUUUGACCUAUACUUCAGAGAAGCUUUCGAUAAUAUUUAAUAUUAGGUUGAGGCUCCCGCAUGAGAAGUGGCCUAGGUUCGGUUCGCAGGACGAGGAUGCUGAUUGGAGCGCGUGAGAGGGAAGAUGAACUUUUCUUUUUCCGGGGGGUUCCCAAGGUGAAGAAGAUUUGGCAUAAACGUUUGGGUCAGUCUUCGGAGAAAGUUUUACGUCAUUUACCCUAUGUGAGUCUAUUUAGUGUUAGUAGUUGCAAUAAUGAUUGGUGCGACGUGUGUUUUCGGGUCCAUCAACCUAGAACUAGUUUUCCUAAGAGUAAUAGUAGGGCUAGUAGGAUUUUUGAGUUAAUUCAUUGUGAUUUAUGGGGGCCCUAUUGAACUAAGUCAAGUUGUGUUGCUUCAUAUUUUUUAACAAUAGUAGAUGAUUUUCUCACACUGUUUGGACCUAGUUAUUAUAUAAUAAACUGGAAGUUGAGACUA